rnacentral:rRNA from 1 species
UACAGAGACUGCAAGCGUUUAUUCGGAUUCACUGGGCGUAAAGGGUGCGCAGGCGGUUGGGGUGUGUCAGAUGUGAAAUCCCGAGGCUCAACCUCGGAACUGCGUCUGAAACUACUCGACUAGAGUACUGGAGAGGGUAACGGAAUUCACGGUGUAGCAGUGAAAUGCGUAGAUAUCGUGAGGAACACCAGAGGCGAAGGCGGUUACCUGGGACAGUUACUGACGCUCAGGCACGAAAGCAUGGGGAGCAAAAGGG